rnacentral:rRNA from 1 species
CCUACGGGAGGCAGCAGUGAGGAAUAUUGGUCAAUGGGCGUAAGCCUGAACCAGCCAAGUCGCGUGAGGGAUGAAGGUUCUAUGGAUCGUAAACCUCUUUUAUAAGGGAAUAAAGUGCGGGACGUGUCCCGUUUUGUAUGUACCUUAUGAAUAAGGAUCGGCUAACUCCGUGCCAGCAGCCGCGGUAAUACGGAGGAUCCGAGCGUUAUCCGGAUUUAUUGGGUUUAAAGGGUGCGUAGGCGGCCUUUUAAGUCAGCGGUGAAAGUCUGUGGCUCAACCAUAGAAUUGCCGUUGAAACUGGGAGGCUUGAGUAUGUUUGAGGCAGGCGGAAUGCGUGGUGUAGCGGUGAAAUGCUUAGAUAUCACGCAGAACCCCGAUUGCGAAGGCAGCCUGCCAAGCCAUGACUGACGCUGAUGCACGAAAGCGUGGGGAUCAAACAGGAUUAGAUACCCCAGUAGUC